GAAUAUGAAAUGUCACUGAGGGAGAGAGGGGAAUGUAUAAUGUUUACAUUCUGUACGGAUAUAUUAUUGUUAGCCAUCAGGGAUCCUAUAGGAGGAAAAAAGACACAGUCUGGUACGAGUCAACAUGACAGCCGUGAGUUGGGGAGGAGUGAGCACUUUGGGGCAGAGGUCAGGUCGGAUGUAGUGAGGAAGAACAGAUAUCACUAAGGUUCUGUCUAGCAACAGAGAUGCAUUGGCUGUUCAAAUGUGCAGGAGGAGACUCAGCCUAGGAGAAAAGAUUAAAUAUCAGUGCUUGUGUGAAUCUGUCUUUUGUCUUAUGCAGCUUUUUCGGCCCAAUGGGUGAAUAAACUUGGUUUGAGCUUUAUUAAGCGUCCGUGAUGUUUUAAUAGGUUAAUUUAGAACCUAACAGUUGGCACUGCAAGCAGGGUUCACCACGAUUUACAGUUGAACUAGAAAUUCCCGAAUCAGUGAAACAGGAGCCGGCACCAGAAACAAAGGUAGGCACAGUUUCUACACCUGUUAUCACUAAUUCUGACAUCUUGGAGAGAUGAAAGUCGUAGGCUGAACCAAUUAUAGAACACGGACCUAGAAAGCCUGAGCUUAUUUAGCAGUCCAAUUGUAUUACGUCCGGUCGUAGCUUUAAAGAGGGUAAGUCCCUAGCAGGAUAGAAUCUGUGGAGGGUAAGAUUCAUAGCUUUAAAGAGGGUAAGUCCCGAGCACGAUAGUUCCUCUUAGAGACAAUCAAUUUACCCCGAUUAUCCCUGUAAAGCAGGGCUAGAGGAUUUUAGUAAAGCCAUGGAGGCGCUGAAAGAAGCGCACAAGCAUUCUAGCAAUUUUGUUCGAAUAUGGGAGAAAUUUUGCAAACUGGAUAAAAUUGGUCAGCAUUUCCCGGCUAAUGGAAGUUCCAAUCUAAUAGAGCAAGAUGCGUUGAGAGUGGAAUAUAACUCUGAGCACUUCACAUAUGUGCGAAGGGUUAAUAAUAUGGCCACAGUGAAAGUUACUAAAUAUGGUUUCAAUAGCCAAGGUAAGACAAAGAAAUGUAGCGAAAAAACAUCAAAGUGUAGGGAGUGUCACGACUUCCGCCGACGUCGGCUCCUCUCCUUGUUCAGGCGGCGUUCGACGAUCGACGUCACCGGCUUUCUAGCCAUCACCGCUCCAUUUUUCAUAUAUCCAUUUGUCUUGUCUUGUUUCCAUACGCACCUGGUUUUCAUUUCUCCAAUCAAUCUACUUGUAUUUAACCCUCUGUUUCCCAUCAUGUUUUGUGUGUAAAUGUUUCAUGUUAUGUGGUGUUAGUUUACGCGCUUUACUUUUAUGUUCCGUUUUUUGAGCACGUUUGAUUUAUGUAGUGCUCUCGUUUUUUGGAACUAUAAUAAAGUACACCUGUUCAUUAUACUCUGCUCUCCUGCACCUGACUUCGCCUCCAAUACACCAUUGACAGGGAGGUAGAUCCCUGUUUUAGAUGUGGGGCCGUGGGUCAUUGGAAGAAUGAGUGUAGAGUGGGAAUGGAGCCUGCUGCAUUCGGAGGAAAUGCUGCCAUGCAAGGCGUUUGCAUCUUUUUCAAAGGAACCGCAACAAAUCCCCUUGAAAGCAGCGGGACAGGAAAAUAGCUGAGCAUUGCCUCUGUUAGAAUAGUGGGUCAAAGAGAUUGUUUUUUAUGUGAGGGGAGAUGUAGGAGACCACGUCUUACACAACUUUUUAAUAGAUGCCAGGGAUCAAAUAUUGCGGAUUCCUUUAUGAUGAGAAAUUGGCUAACUUUGCCACAGGAAAAAAGUAUUUUGGGAUGAAGAAUCUAGACGAAAUGCCAGGGGAAUGGAUUCUAAAGAGGUAACAAAUUAAAAUGAUCUGGCCAAACACUCCUUACAAACUCCGAAAACCUUGGGAGUGUUUUUAAUCUCAUGAGACGUUUUCUGUCGUCUUAUUAUGAAAUAGAUUUACAUUUUAUGUCGUCUUAUCCUGAAAUAGAUUUAUAGAAUGGACAAAAGGGAGGAACGGUCACGAGAAAUUAGCAUUGGGGUUACCAAACCUAAAAUGAACUUUUUUUUUGUACAUGAAUGGUGGCAUUGUGGUGCAUAUUGAAUGCUAACGAAAUGUACACUUUCUUUUCCAGAAGAAGGGGUUUCAUUAUCUCCCUUUGGAAUGUUUCCUGAGGAUAUGGUCUGGGGAGAGCAGUUAGUGAAAUUCUGCAGUUUUAUAAGUAUAAAGGUAUCUGGAUUAGGCCAUAAACAGAGUUCCCUGAUAAUUAAGGCCUGGUCAUGUGUGUGUCUUUGACCUAUGGUUUAUCACACCCACACCAGCAUGCACACACAACUCACCAGGUAUGAGUAUUUGUUAUUGAUGUUCAUCCCAUGGGAUAUAUUGUGUGGGGUUUUUUCAAUCUGGGUUUUAAACUUAGUAUGUAGAAUGAUGGAAAUGUUUGAAAUGUCUGGGUUGGCGCCCCCCCCUUGGGUUGUGCCGUGGCGGAGAACUUUGUGGGCUAUACUCGGCCUUGUCUCAGGAUGGUAAGUUGGUGGUUGAAGAUAUCCCUCUAGUGGUGUGGGGGCUGUGCUUUGGCAAAGUGGGUGGGGUUAUAUCCUUCCUGUUUGGCCCUGUCCGGGGGUGUCCUUGGAUGGAGCCACAGUGUCUCUUGACCCCUCCUGUCUCAGCCUCCAGUAUUUAUGCUGCAGUAGUUUAUGUGUCGGGGGGCUAGGGUCAGUUUGUUAUAUCUGGAGUACUUCUCAUGGUCUAUCACGUUCUGACCUUUAUUUCCUUUGUUUUGUCUUUAUUUAGUAUGGUCAUGGCGUGAGUUGGGGUGGGCAGUCUAUGUGUGUUUUUCUAUGUUUUUCCAUUUCUAUGUUUGGCCUGAUAUGGUUCUCAAUCAGAGGCAGCUGUUUAUCGUUGUCCCUGCUUGAGAACCAUAUUUAGGUAGCCUGGGUUUCACUGUUGGUUUGCGGGUGUUUGUUUCCAUGUCUGUGUUUUUCACGGUACUGUUUCGGUUUUGUUAUGUCACAUAUUUGUUUAUUGUUUUUUUGUAUUUCAUAGUGUUCUGUGCUUUUGUUAUUAAAAACGUCAUGAACACUUACCACGCCGCAUCUUGGUCCGAUCCUUACUCCUCUUCAGACGAAGAGGAGGAAAUCUGCCGUUACAGAAACACCCACCAACAGAGGACCAAGCGGCGUGGUAACGGGCAGCAACAGCAGCGGCAGCGAUGUCAGGAUUUCUGGACAUGGGAGCGUGAUCUGGACUGUGUCACUACUUGGGAGGAGAUAGACAGGUGGGCGGUCGACCCAGGGAGAGUGCCGGAGCCCGCCUGGGAUUUUCUGGAGCAGUGUGAGGAGGGAUACCGGUGAAUGGAGGCAGUACGGCGGCGAGGUACUGCAGAAAAGUAUUCUGAAGGCAUAGAGUCAGGGACCAGAAAGAGAAAGUUGAAAUGGAAGAAGUCAACAGCUCCAGCAGACACGUUAUUAUCACUGUUCUACGAGAAAGGGAAAUAAGAGUGUAUGGUGUGACUAUAGAACAGAGGCCACAAGUCUCUGAGUUUGUAAAUCUCACUGUGAAUGUUAAUCAUGUUUUAUUUUUGUUCAUGUUUUGUUAUUGUUUGUUCAUUUAGAAGUAAUUUCCAAGUUUAUGUAAGUUGAACAGUAGGAAGCUUUGUUCAAGAGGAGGGACUGUUGGGUUCUGAGAAUAUGAAAUAUACUUGUCAAAGUUUAUUUGUCACGUGUGCUGAAUGCAACAGGUGUAGUAGAUCUUACAGUGAAAUGCUUACUUACAGGCUCUAACCAACAGUGCAAUUUUUAAGUAAAAAAAAAGUAUUAGGUAAACAAUAAGAUAGGUAAAGAAAUAAAAACAACAGUAAAAAAGACAGUGAAAAAGAACAGCUACUGUGGUUAGUCGGGCUGAUUGAGGUAGUAUGUACAUGUAGGUAUGGUUGAAGUGACUGUGCAUAUAUAUGAUAAACCGAGAGUAGCAGUAGCAUAAAAGAGGUGUUGGGGGGGGGCACACAAUGCAAAUAGUCUGGGUAGCCAUUUGAUUACCUGUUCAGGAGUCUUCUGGCUUGGGGGUAAAAACUGUUGAGUAGCCUUUUGGUCCUAGACUUGGCGCUCCAGUACCGCUUGCCAUGUGGUAGUAGAGAGAACAGUCUACAACUAGGGUGGCUGGGGUCUUUGACAAUUUGUAGGGCCUUCCCCUGACACCGCCUGGUAUAGAGGUCCUGGUUGGCAGGCAGCUUAGCUCCAUUUAUUUACUGGGCUGUACGCACUACCCUUUACCCGCACUACCCUCUUAUUCAUGUCACUGAGGGAGAGAGGGGAAUGUAUAACUUUCUUUAUACAUUUAGUUUGAGCUGUAUUAAGCAUCCAUGAGUUUUAAUAGGUUCAUUUAGAACCUAAAAAGUAAUCUUGGUUCUACACAGAAAAACAGGAUACUUUCUCCCAUUCCUUUUUUUUUCAUUUUUUCCAUUCAUUCAUCAUUGAGGAGGGAGAAAUGACAGGAAGUAGCAGGCUAGUUGUUGGUCAAUGAGAGGAAGUGAUGUGAAAUAGUGGAGGGUUGAUAAUGAUAAUGAGGUCAUGUUUUUCUCCCCGUUUGGCUGUUGCCAAGCUGCACCUUUGUCAUACCCCAAUACGAUCUGUUAGCAAAAGUACCCAACCAUAUUUAUAUGAAAACAGCAUGCCACUCACUGGGUAUAGUUUCUGUUAAACCACUUCUAUAUUCUAUUCAUCAGUAACAAUGAACGGCUAUACUGUGACCUUGUGAAGUGAUUUCCUAUGAGAACCUGCAUCAUGGCUUUUAAAUCAGCUGGCAGCAGAAUCUUGCAUCUGCAUAUGCCUUUACUGGGCUGGCUAAACUCUGUCCAUGGUGCUGGAAGUCUCCAAAUGGUCUACUGUAUAAGCCAGACUUCAAACUGCAGAAGCUAACAUCACAUUCAUCCUUCCUAUGUUCAGUUAGCCUAAACUGACAAGAAGAGAUAAUGCAGUGAUUGAAGACUAUUCUAAGACAUUGCGUUCUGAGAUCAGUAAAUUACUAGCUUACCUCAAACGUUACUGAGCUGACAUUAUUUCCAACAUUUUGAUUUGAGGAGAUAUUCAUUCAUUUGAUACAACUCAUUUGAUACUGAAGCCAAAAUGGUUCACAUCACUGCAGACAGUAGGUAAGGAGGGCACACACACACAGGCUUAGAAAGUCUGUAUAGUUCUGUAACUGAUGAUAUAAGAAUUUGUCAGCAUUCCAAUAAAGCAGUAAUGUCAGAUAGACGAUCACGUCAGAUUGUCUUUUUCAAAGGGGUCUAACAUAUCGGUUAGGAAAUAAAGAGAUGGUAAAAUAAAUAUAUGACAAUAAUAUAGUCAGACUUCUCUAAAAGAAAAAGAUUCUGAAAGAAAUUGUGACAUGAAGGUUCAUUAUGGAAAAAUUAUGAACAUUUCAUGACUGCAAUGACGAGAUAGAAAACAGUGACAAACUAUUGGUAUUCAUUUUAGAUCCUCCACUAUAAUGUUAUCAAAGCUUGGAUAAGGAAGCCUUGUGAGAGAAAAAAAACCUAUUUACCUGAUUUAUUUGAUAUUAAUGGUUAACAAUUUACAUUUAGCUUAUAGUAAGACAUUUCUGUCCCUGCUAGUGUCUGUCUUUUCAUGGGCUCCACUCUAGUUCCCUGCAGCUAAUCUGGGCGUAUGGUUACCAGAGAUGGCUUGAGCUGACAAAUUAGUUGAAUACUGCAUUACAUAGACAGGAAAGUUUUUUACUAGAGAUAGUUUAGGAGUAGCACAGUCCCUCAUUGUCUCAAAAUCAUCCUUGCAUCUGGGAAACUAAGCCAGGGUGGGGUUAAGACAACAA